AGGACGAACGCUGGCGGCGUGCUUAACACAUGCAAGUCGAGCGGAAAGGCCCUUCGGGGUACUCGAGCGGCGAACGGGUGAGUAACACGUGAGUAAUCUGCCCCUAGCUCUGGGAUAGCUCCGGGAAACCGGGAUUAAUACCGGAUACGACCACCUUAGACAUCUUUUGUGGUGGAAAGAAUUUCGGCUAGGGAUGAGCUCGCGGCCUACCAGCUUGUUGGUGGGGUAACGGCCUACCAAAGCGACGACGGGUAG
rnacentral:rRNA from 1 species